GACGAACGCUGGCGGCGUGCCUAAUACAUGCAAGUAGAACGCUGAAGAGAGGAGCUUGCUCUUCUUGGAUGAGUUGCGCACGGGUGAGUAACGCGUAGGUAACCUGCCUUGUAGCGGGGGAUAACUAUUGGAAACGAUAGCUAAUACCGCAUAACAAUGGAUGACACAUGUCAUUUAUUUGAAAGGGGCAAUUGCUCCACUACAAGAUGGACCUGCGUUGUAUUAGCUAGUAGGUGAGGUAAUGGCUCACCUAGGCGACGAUACAUAGCCGACCUGAGAGGGUGAUCGGCCACACUGGGACUGAGACACGGCCCAGACUCCUACGGGAGGCAGCAGUAGGGAAGCUUCGGCAAUGGGGGCAACCCUGACCGAGCAACGCCGCGUGAGUGAAGAAGGUUUUCGGAUCGUAAAGCUCUGUUGUAAGUCAAGAACGGGUGUGAGAGUGGAAAGUUCACACUGUGACGGUAGCUUACCAGAAAGGGACGGCUAACUACGUG
rnacentral:rRNA from 1 species